AAAAAUUAAAAAAAAAAAAAAAAUUUCUUUUGAGAUAUGAUUGACACGGUAGCUUCCUUCUUCACAGCCACCUGACACUGACCUUUUAAAAAAGGCUUCUCUAGUUAGGUCGGGCUGACCCAGGAUAAACUCCGUUUGAAGUCAAAACCAAUGGAUUACUACCGGGAUCACAGGAGUAACACCCAUCUUCUUCACAGGUCCCGCCCACAUUCAAGGGGCAGGGAUUAUACAGGUGUUGUUCCCGGCAGACAGGGAUCUUGGGGCCUGAGAAUCCCGCCUACCACAUUACCAAGUUGUCUUCAGGAAAAUCGGUAUUUCCAUCAACAAUGUGUCAGAGCACUUGAUCUGUUGUGUGUUAUUCUUUGACCUCUCAUAUGUUGCAAAUAUUUUUUGACCUUACCAUUUGUCUUACGUUUGUUUAUAGAGGAUUUGGGGAGAUGUUUUACUUUUUAACGUAGUCAGAUUCUUCAGUUAUCUCUUUGUAAUGUCUUUGUUUUGACUCUUAGAAAGAUGAUCCCCACUGAGGACUCGUAUUAAAAUGUACCUAUUUUUGUAGUCAUUUCUGUUCUUUGUUUUAAAGUUUAUUUAUUUUGAGAGAGACAGCACAAGUAGGGGAUGGGCAGAGGGAGAGAGAGAGAAUCCCAAGCAGGCUCUGUGCUGGCAGCACAGAGCCCAAAGCGGGGCUCGAACCCACAAAGCCGUGAGAUCAUGACCCGAGCCGAUACCAAGAACCGGUUGCCUAAUGACUGGGGGCCCCAAGGCGCCCCUGUAGUCACUUCUUAUAUUCACUUUCCCCUAGCUGGAAUUUAUCUGAGCACAUAGCAGAAGUUAAAAUUCAACAUGAGCUUUCCCCUAAAAUGGUAAGCAAUUCUUCUAGCAUAAUUUAUUGUAUAAUUCUUCCUUUGCCACUUACUUUUGGUGCUAAUUUUAUACACACACACUCAUAGUAAGGUCUUUUUUUCUUUUUUUUUUUAAUGUUUAUUUUUUGAGACCGAGAGAGACAGAGACAGGGCAUGAACAGGGGAGGGGCAGAGAGAGGGAGACACAGGAUGUGAAGCAGGCUGCAGGCUCCGAGCUGUCAGCACAGAGCCUGACGCAGGGCCUGAACUCACAAAUUGAGACACUGUGACCCAAGCCGAAGUCGGAUGCUCAACUGAUGGAGCCUCCCCAGGCACCCCAGUAAGGUCUUAUUCUUGUCCCAUAUUUUGUUUCAUUGAUCUAUUAUAUCGGAAUUACAUUAUUUUAAUUAUUACAAAUUUUGAUGCAUUUUUUAAGAUUUUAUUUUAGUUUAUUAAAAUGAUUUUUCAUAUCUAUUUUUGAGAGAGGCAGAGCGAGAGGGAGGCACAGAAUCCAAAGCAGGCUCCAGGCUCUGAGCUGUCAGCACGGAGCCUGACCCAGGGCUCGAACUCACGAACCUCGAGAUCAUGACGUGAGCCGAAGUUGGACGCUCAACCAGCUGAGCCACCCAGGUGCCCCUUAGAUUUUAUUUUUAAGUAAUCUCUACACCCAAUGUGGGGUUCGAAGUCACAACCCCAAGAUCAAGAGUCACAUGCUCUACAGACUGAGCCAGCCAGAUGCCCCAAUUUUGAUACAUUCUUAAACUUACAAUUUUGAAGUUAUAAACUCACAGAAAGUACCGAAAGUACAGAUAAGUCCCAUAUACCUUUCACCCAGUUUCCUCCAAUGGUAACAUCUUACAUAAUUGCAGUACAAUGGCAACACCAAGAUGUUGAUUUUGGCACAGUCUGUGUUCUGUGCCAUUUUAUCACAUGUAACCAGCACUAAGAUCAAGAUCACUAAGAUCCAGAUACACCACAAAGACCUCCUCUUUGCUAUACCUCUAUAGCCACACCUUUCUCCCCUCCCCCCAACCUUCCCGCCCUCCUGCCAUCCCUAACAGACUCUGGCAACCACUGGUCUAUUCUCACAUUUCUAUAAUUUUGUCAUUUGGAGAUUAUAUAAAUGGAGUCCUACAGCAUGUGAUCUUUUGAAAUUGGCUUUUUUUCAUUCAGGAUAUUUGAAAUAGCUGACUUAUUGCAAAUAGGCACACUCUACCUUCAAAAACUUAUGGACAUAUUCAGACACACAUGAAAACGAUAGUAUGACAAUACCCAUAUAUGCAUCACCCAGAUUCAAUGUUUUGUCCUUUUGUUUUGUCUAUCUUACUCAGUGUUUUUCCUGAGUACUGUCAAGCAAAUCUCAGAUGUAUAAUUUUACCCAUAGUUAAUGCAAUAUGUUUAUCAAAUAGGGAUUAUUUUUAGCAUAAGCACAAUAACCUUGUCACAUCUAAGAAAACCAUUAUUAAUACCUAAUACUCAAUUUGGUUAUCUCAAGAAUGACUUAGCCCAGGCCCACACUGUAUUUGGUUCCUAGGUCCCUCAAGUGUCCUUGCACAGUCCUCUCUGCUAUGGACUGAAUGUUUGGGUCCCCCCAGAAGUCAGGAAGUCGAGUGUGAAAGGCCUAAUCCGCAGCGGGAUGAAAUGUGGAGGUGGGGCUUUGGGGAAGUGAUUAGGUUGAGAUCAUGAGGGUAGAGCCCCCACGAUGGGAUCGGUGCCCUUAGAGGAGGAGGAGGAGACCACAACCCUCUCUCCCCAGCCAUGUGAAGACACAGCAAUCUGGGGCAUCUGGGUGGUUCAGUCAUUUAAGCAUCCAACUUCACCUCAGGUCCUGAUCUCAGGGUUUCUGGGUUUGAGCCUGGCAUCGGGCUCUGUGCCGACAGCUCAGAGCCUGGAGCCUGCUUAGGAUUCUGUGUCUCCCUCUCUCUCUCUGCCCCCCCCCCCCACUUGUGCUCUGUCUCUUUCUCUUAAAAAUAAAUAAAAUGUUGAAAAAAAAAGUCUUUACAGGCACAAUGUAUCUGUUUAUCCCCCUUGCAAAAAAAAAGACGAUGACACAGCAAUUUGAUGGCUGUUUGCAGGCCAAGGAGGGGUCCUCACAGGAAUCGAAUCAGAUUGUUGGGACAACUCAGCCUCUAGAAUUAGGACGAAUAAAUGUCUGUUGUUGAAGCUACACAGUCUAUGGCAUUUUGUUACAGCAGCCAGAGUAGACCUUUUUUCCAUGUCAUUUAUUUGCAGAAAAAUCGGGGUCAUUUUUCUUCCACUAGAAUUUCCAGCAUUUUGGAACUGGCCAAUUGCACAUUUUUGUGGCGUGUUAAUGUGUGGUAUAACGUGUGUAUGUGGGUUUCGUAAUGCAAAGUUGUAAGUAUCUACAGAAGUAGCAAGACAACGAACCCAUCCCACAGCUGCCACAGGUCAAGCGCAAGGUCAGACUCCACCUCCGCCCCAGCGCUGACCCUCCAUUCUAGUUACCGCUGCUACAUGACAACUUUCCCCAACCCGUAGCAGCUUGAGACAACCGUUUUAUUUUCUCACAACUUUAAGGGUCGGGAAUUCAGGACAGGUUUGACCGGGCAGCUAUCGCUUAUGGUCCCCAGGUGGCUACAGGUGGAUGCUGUCUGGGGCUGUGGUCUCCGAAGGCUCCGCUGGGCUGGACGUGCAAGACGGCGGCUCCCAGGGCUGGUCACUGAUGCUACUGCUACGUGGUGUCUGGUGGCUCGGCCGGGGAGACCCACAGGCGGGGGGGCCAGAAUCACCUGAAGGUUUGUUCAGUCCCAAGUCUGGUCCUUAGGCUGGAAGGGCUUAGAGACCAGGGCUUCGAGGCCUCCCCAGGGGGCUGGGCUCCUUCCCGGCGGGGUGUGGCGGCUCAGGGUUCCAGGCGCCGGCCUGCGUUCCCGAGAGCAAGGCGGGACGGCAUCACCUUUCCCGGCCCAGCCUCACAAACCACUUUUCUCCACCUUCUAUUGGUUACAAGAGAAUGUCAAGCUGGCAGAGAUUUAAGGAGAGGCUACAGGCCCCGCCCAGGUGGGAGGGGCAUCAAGGUCACACGGCAGAACCGGAGGCAGAGCAGGGGCUGCGGCUGCCUUUGGAAAGUGUCCUCAGCCACACCGCACUCUUUCCACUUCGCAGCAAAUCUCAGACACCGUCUCCGUCAGUCACAUCGAUUUAUACCCGAGUACUUUGGGUGCAGCUCUAAGAGACAAGGACUGGUGUGUAUUCCAUGCGUUUUGAAGCAUAAUUCACACAAGAUAAAAUGCCCAGUCCUUAACUGCACAGCUGGAUUCGUUUUCACAAUUGUAUGCACCUGUGUAAUCACCCCCCACGAGAGGCAGAACUUUCUACCACCAUGCAGCGUCCCCACAGGCUCCCUUCCAGUCAGCUAGCCUCUCCCUCCCUCAUUCCUACCCCAGAAAGAACUUUCUGGUUUUUAUCCCAUAGUAGUAAGACCUACUUUUAUUAUUUAUGUGAUACACAGCAUUUUCGACUUGUUAGGACUCUCCAUUGCUCUUAGGCUUUUGUAGUAUUAGGUUAGUUGAAGGAAACUUGGACUCCCAAGGCCCUACUUUUUCCAGAUCUAAUAGGGAAAUUCUUCAGCUUUACAGCACAAAUGUGAGAGAGAAGCUGCUCAUGCCCUAGUUUAAAUGUUCCACCUGGCAGACCAGGUGUCUGCAGUUCUGAUCGCCGGAUCCUGCUCUCUGCAAGGUGACCAAGACCCGCUGCAUCCGCCUUAUUGAACGCAGCCUUUUCUGGGUUUACUUGAUCUCUUUGCAACAUUUAAUGCUGUUGACCAAAUUACCUUCUUUCUUUUCUAACAGCUUUGUUGCGGUAUAAUUUACAUACCGUAAAAUUCACCUGUUUGAGGCAUACCAUUCAGUGAUUUUUAGUAAACUUUCAGUGUUGGUCACCCAUCGUUCCAGUUUUGAGAACAUUUCUGUCACCUUCAAAAGGCCCCUUGUUCCCAUUUAUGGCUGAUCCCUGCUCCCACCCUUAGUCCGGGCUUCCCUUUAUAUAAAUUUGCCUUUCCUGGACACUUCACAUAAAUAGAAUAACGAUACAUGUGGUCUCUUACAUUUGGCCUCUUUCGGUGGACUAUCAGGAUUUGGGGACUCCCUCACGGGCACGAUGUCAGUAGCUUGUUCCCCGUCACUGCUGAGAUGCCGCCUUAGAUGGAGAAACCACACUCUUCGCCUUCUCUCUUGAAACCCCACCUUCACUCUCGCUCUCUGACCUUGCCCCUCUGUAUCCACCGUCUCUCUACCCUCUGAAGUGAGGGUGUGACAGACACUAGGUGCCUCUCCAGCCGACACCCACCUGCCCACACCUGCCUGUACUGGCAGAAGUCCAGCCCCAGAACUUGCACAUCUGAGCCUGUCCUGGCGAUGCUGGGCAGGUGAGACCCUCCAAGGGAAGGUUCUUGCACCGAGAACAGCCCCUCGUGAACGCGACAGCAGUCCAGGCUGCGCGUGACACCAAGGGCCAUCCAGCUCUCUGACAACACUGAGGGUGGCAAAAGCGUAGACCCAAACAGUCCUUGAUGCCAUGGGAUGCUGCUGAGCAAGCCACCGUGAGUGCCCUCUUGUGACCCUUCAUUUGGGAGGGGUUGAACCCCUCAGCGGUACAGCCGCAUCUUGUUAGCUGCUCUGUGACUUGCAGCCAGAAGGCUCCUGACCGACCGGCAGCGUUCUUCAAACCUCCUCCCCAGGACGCUGGCCCUUCCUGCAGUCUUCCACUCAGGCAAGGGUUCAUACAGCAGGAUCUGGAGUCCGGGCCGUGCUCCCAAGCCCAGCACCCUCAUUUCAAACGGCUUCCUGCCCUUGACCUCACAGGUGCCUCAGUCAGAGCCCACCCGUGCUCACCAGGCCAGCAUCGUCUGACCCACCAACCAUUCAUUCCUAGGACUCCCAGGUCCUGUUCCAGUCUGCGGAAUGUUGAGGGAGCAACAGUCCUGCCCAAAGACACUCAGCCCUCGGGAACGGUGGGUCUGCCUUGCAGCCAGACGCUGCGAAGUCCUUCUGGACUCUGCUAUGCAUCUACCACCUGGAAAGUUACCCAAACCUUUAUCCAACUGCUGUUUUCCGCCGACAAUUCUGGAUAUUUACCUCCUACAUAAAGGUCCUAAAACCCUUCCCUCACUAGGGCAUGCCCCCUGCCAUUGGUAUCCCACCACUCAGGCUCCUUUCUACACCACCCCCACAUUCCCCGGCCUCAGGUUCUGUCCCCUCCUGGGCGUACUUACCUUCGACUUCAGAUGAAGGCCACUGUCGCUUGGCUGCCCCUCUCUUUCCAUGGAGGCUCUCUGCAGGCUUAGUGUCCGGAGGCUUCUCAGACUCUUGAGAAUGCCUGCCCGUCGGCCUUUCCUUGGCCUUGGGAACUGAAUAGACGCGCCCCUUUUGCUCCUCACCUGAAACACACGGACAAUUAGUCCUACAGUUUACUGGAUCCCAGUCCUUCAGUUGGCUGCUUUGGCCCAUAAUGAAACAAGGAAGCUCGCAA